rnacentral:misc_RNA from 1 species
GAAAUGCGAUACGUAGUGUGAAUUGCAGAAUUCCGUGAAUCAUCGAAAUCUUGAACGCAUCUUGCGCUUGCAGGUCCUCCUGCAAGCAUGCCUGUUUGAGCGUCGCUUCAUCAUCACUCUCGCAAGACAACCUCUUCCGAGAGUGGUCGUGGUCAUCCGACCUUGCGGUCUGUUGACUGAAAUCUCGAGCAGCGAGCCCGUUUUGGGGUUACGAUAGUGCGGUUGACGCGCCUCGUGCGUGAUAUUAGCACUGCUCUGACCUCGCAGGGACCUCUCUGCCCCGUCCUCGUGACUCAAAACCCAUCGACCUCAAAUCAGGUAGGGAGACCCGCUGAACUUAA